UGACCUUAGAUCAAUGUGGUGUGGUCAGAGGUGGUCAUGGGUCACCAAGGGAUGGACACUGGGUGGUCACAGGUGGCCAUGGGUCACUAAGGGAUAGACACAGGGUGGUCAGAGGUGGUCAUGGGUCACCAAGGGAUGGACACAGAGUGGUCAUGGGUGGCCAUUGGUCACCAUGGGGUGGCCAUGGGUGGUCAGGGGUGAUCCUAGGUCAACAUGGGGUGGCCAGAGGCGAUCAUGGGUCACCAAGGGAUGGACACAGGGUGGCCANAGGUGGUCACUGGUCACCAAGGGAUGGACACAGGGUGGUCAGAGGUGGUCAUUGGUGGCCAUUGGUCACCAUGGGUGAUCCUAGGUCAACGUGGGGUGGCCAGAGGCGAUCAUGGGUCACCAAGGGAUGGACACUGGGUGGCCAUACAUGGUCAUGGGUGGCCAUUGGUCACCAUGGGGUGGCCAUGGGUGGUCAGGGGUGAUCCUAGGUCAACAUGGGGUGGCCAGAGGUCAACAGGAGUCAGUCAAGGUCAAGCAAGGGUCAGCCAAGGCUCCAUGGGAGUUGGCCAAGGUCAACCAAAGGUCAGCCAAGGUCAAGCAAGGGUCUGUCAAGGUCAACCAGGGGUCAUCCAAGGUCACUCAAAGUCACCUCAGAUCUUCCAGGACCCACCCAAAGGUCACUCAAGGUCACCCACGAGUCCUCCAAGGCCUCCCAAGACCACCCAAGGUCCUGGAAGAUCCACCCAACGUCCCCUGAGACCGCCCCAAACCCUCCGGAGCCCCCUGAAGACCCCCGAGACCCAUCCAAGGUCCUUGAAGGGCCAAGCCAGGUCCUGGAAGAUCCACCCGGGGUCUUCGAAGGUUCCUCCAAGGAUCCUCCAGACCCUCCCCAGGUCCUGGAAGCUCCACCCCAAAAUGCUCCAGAACCUUCUCCAAGUCCUCCAAGGAUCACCCGAGGCCUCCCAAGACCCUCGCGAGGUCCUGGAAGGUUCUGGAAGGUCCCAGAAAGUCCUGGAAGGUUCUGGAAGGUCCCAGAAAGUCCUGGAAGGUUCUGGAAGGUCCCGGAAGGUCCUCACCCGGUAUUCCUUGAUCUCCUCCUGCAGGAUCUGGUCGGCGUCGGCGUAAACCUCGACCUUGCGCUGCUUCUCCAGCUUCCGGCGCAGCCGCGACAGCUCCUCCUGUCGCGACAGAGGCGGCGGCGAUACGUCGCGAUAUGUCGCGGUAGAGAACCCCAAAACACCCCAAAAUUUCCCAAAAAAUUCCUAAAAAUCCUUAAAAAUCUUCCACGGAUUCUCCAGGGUCGGAAAGAGCCCCGACAGCUCCUCCUGUCACGACAGAGACGGCAGCGAUAUGUCGCGAUAGAGAGUCCCCAAAAAAACCCCAAAAUUUCCCAAAAAAUUCCUAAAAAUCCUUAAAAAUCUUCCAUGGAUUCUCCAGGGUCGGAAAGAGCCCCGACAGCUCCUCCUGUUGCGACAGACGUGGCGAUAUACCACGAUAUGUCCUGAUACGUCGCGAUACAGAGCCCCAAAAAACCCCCCAAAAUUCCUAAAAAAUUCCUAAAAGUCCCUAAAAAUCUUCCAUGGAUUCUCCAGAGUUAAAUAGAGCCCCAACACCUCCUCCUGUCGCGACAGAGGCGGCCAUACGUCGCGAUAUGUCGCGAUAGAGAGCCCCAAAAAACCCCCCGAAAUUCCUAAAAAUUCCUAAAAAUCCUUAAAAAUCUUCCACGGAUUCUCCAGGGUUGGAUGGAGCCCCGACAGCUCCUCCUGUCGCGACAGAGGCGGCGGCGAUACGUCGCGAUAUGUCGCGAUAGAGAGCUC
rnacentral:lncRNA from 13 species